GAGGAACGCUGGCGGCGUGCCUAAUACAUGCAAGUCGAACGAACUCUGGUAUUGAUUGGUGCUUGCAUCAUGAUUUACAUUUGAGUGAGUGGCGAACUGGUGAGUAACACGUGGGAAACCUGCCCAGAAGCGGGGGAUAACACCUGGAAACAGAUGCUAAUACCGCAUAACAACUUGGACCGCAUGGUCCGAGUUUGAAAGAUGGCUUCGGCUAUCACUUUUGGAUGGUCCCGCGGCGUAUUAGCUAGAUGGUGGGGUAACGGCUCACCAUGGCAAUGAUACGUAGCCGACCUGAGAGGGUAAUCGGCCACAUUGGGACUGAGACACGGCCCAAACUCCUACGGGAGGCAGCAGUAGGGAAUCUUCCACAAUGGACGAAAGUCUGAUGGAGCAACGCCGCGUGAGUGAAGAAGGGUUUCGGCUCGUAAAACUCUGUUGUUAAAGAAGAACAUAUCUGAGAGUAACUGUUCAGGUAUUGACGGUAUUUAACCAGAAAGCCACGGCUAACUACGUGCCAGCAGCCGCGGUAAUACGUAGGUGGCAAGCGUUGUCCGGGAUUUAUUGGGCGUAAAGCGAGCGCAGGCGGUUUUUUAAGUCUGAUGUGAAAGCCUUCGGCUCAACCGAAGAAGUGCAUCGGAAACUGGGAAACUUGAGUGCAGAAGAGGACAGUGGAACUCCAUGUGUAGCGGUGAAAUGCGUAGAUAUAUGGAAGAACACCAGUGGCGAAGGCGGCUGUCUGGUCUGUAACUGACGCUGAGGCUCGAAAGUAUGGGUAGCAAACAGGAUUAGAUACCCUGGUAGUCCAUACCGUAAACGAUGAAUGCUAAGUGUUGGAGGGUUUCCGCCCUUCAGUGCUGCAGCUAACGCAUUAAGCAUUCCGCCUGGGGAGUACGGCCGCAAGGCUGAAACUCAAAGGAAUUGACGGGGGCCCGCACAAGCGGUGGAGCAUGUGGUUUAAUUCGAAGCUACGCGAAGAACCUUACCAGGUCUUGACAUACUAUGCAAAUCUAAGAGAUUAGACGUUCCCUUCGGGGACAUGGAUACAGGUGGUGCAUGGUUGUCGUCAGCUCGUGUCGUGAGAUGUUGGGUUAAGUCCCGCAACGAGCGCAACCCUUAUUAUCAGUUGCCAGCAUUAAGUUGGGCACUCUGGUGAGACUGCCGGUGACAAACCGGAGGAAGGUGGGGAUGACGUCAAAUCAUCAUGCCCCUUAUGACCUGGGCUACACACGUGCUACAAUGGAUGGUACAACGAGUUGCGAACUCGCGAGAGUAAGCUAAUCUCUUAAAGCCAUUCUCAGUUCGGAUUGUAGGCUGCAACUCGCCUACAUGAAGUCGGAAUCGCUAGUAAUCGCGGAUCAGCAUGCCGCGGUGAAUACGUUCCCGGGCCUUGUACACACCGCCCGUCACACCAUGAGAGUUUGUAACACCCAAAGUCGGUGGGGUAACCUUUUAGGAACCAGCCGCCUAAGGUGGGACAGAUGAUUAGGGAAGUCGUA
rnacentral:rRNA from 2 species